rnacentral:rRNA from 1 species
UACAGAGGUGGCAAGCGUUGUUCGGAAUUACUGGGCGUAAAGGGCGCGUAGGCGGUCUGUAAGUCCUGUGUGAAAUCCCCCGGCUCAACUGGGGAACUGCACAGGAGACUGCUUGGCUUGGAGUUCGGGAGAGGGAAGCGGAAUUCCGGGUGUAGCGGUGAAAUGCGUAGAUAUCCGGAGGAACACCGGUGGCGAAGGCGGUUCUCUGGGCAUUACCU